AUUGAACGCUGGCGGCAGGCCUAACACAUGCAAGUCGAGCGGAGCGGCGGACGGGUGAGUAAUGCCUAGGAAUCUGCCUGGAAGUGGGGGAUAACGUCCGGAAACGGGAGCUAAUACCGCAUACUAUCAGAUGAGCCUAGGUCGGAGUAGCUAGUUGGUGGGGUAAAGGCCUACAAAGGCGACGAACCGUACCUGGUCUGAGAGGAUGAUCAGUCACACUGGAACUGAGACACGGUCUCGACUCCUACGGGAGGCAGCAGUGGGGAAUAUUGGGCAAUUGGCGAAAGCCUGAUCCAGCCAUGCCGCGUGUGUGAAGAAGGUCUUCGGAUUGUAAAGCACUUUAAGUUGGGAGGCGUUACCAACAGAAUAAGCACCGGCUAACGUCGUGCCAGCCGCCGCGGUAAUUC
rnacentral:rRNA from 1 species